rnacentral:rRNA from 1 species
UGAACGCUAGCUACAGGCUUAACACAUGCAAGUCGAGGGGCAUCAGGAAGAAAGCUUGCUUUCUUUGCUGGCGACCGGCGCACGGGUGAGUAACACGUAUCCAACCUGCCCUUUACUCGGGGAUAGCCUUUCGAAAGAAAGAUUAAUACCCGAUGGCAUAAUGAUUCCGCAUGGUUUCAUUAUUAAAGGAUUCCGGUAAAGGAUGGGGAUGCGUUCCAUUAGGUUGUUGGUGAGGUAACGGCUCACCAAGCCUUCGAUGGAUAGGGGUUCUGAGAGGAAGGUCCCCCACAUUGGAACUGAGACACGGUCCAAACUCCUACGGGAGGCAGCAGUGAGGAAUAUUGGUCAAUGGGCGCUAGCCUGAACCAGCCAAGUAGCGUGAAGGAUGAAGGCUCUAUGGGUCGUAAACUUCUUUUAUAUAAGAAUAAAGUGCAGUAUGUAUACUGUUUUGUAUGUAUUAUAUGAAUAAGGAUCGGCUAACUCCGUGCCAGCAGCCGCGGUAAUACGGAGGAUCCGAGCGUUAUCCGGAUUUAUUGGGUUUAAAGGGAGCGUAGGUGGACUGGUAAGUCAGUUGUGAAAGUUUGCGGCUCAACCGUAAAAUUGCAGUUGAUACUGUCAGUCUUGAGUACAGUAGAGGUGGGCGGAAUUCGUGGUGUAGCGGUGAAAUGCUUAGAUAUCACGAAGAACUCCGAUUGCGAAGGCAGCUCACUGGACUGCAACUGACACUGAUGCUCGAAAGUGUGAGUAUCAAACAGG